rfam:Colletotrichum fioriniae PJ7 Scaffold_565.1, whole genome shotgun sequence.
GGCAACUUGGCCGAGCGGUCUAAGGCGCCAGACUCAAGAUAACGGGCUGUCUAAAAGCGAUCUACAUCUUCCCUGAUACCAGGGAGCAUUCUGGUCUCGAAAGAGGCGUGAGUUCGAAUCUCACAGUUGUCA